rnacentral:misc_RNA from 1 species
UUUACUUAACAAGAUGGCGGAACAGAGCAAAUUUUUUUAAGAAAAGAAAUCUUAAACACACUAUUUUUGCAAUGUUUACUCAGUUUCAAUUUUGUCAACUUUGUCGUCUUAAUCACAAGAAGAAGAGGAAACAUAUUUAUUCUAUCAGACAUCAAAAUGUAGUCAAUAAUAUAUUGGAAAAGUAUUUAAGAAAGGUCACUGAAGCUAGGAGUAAUUUAAAAUCUCCUCAGAUUCAUAAUGCACAAUUUGAAAGAGGUGCCAAAUUUUGGUGCCAUUUCUGUGUGGAGGAGGAAUUGAAACACAUGGAGCUAGACACUUGUACUGUAAAAUAUGGUGGUCUUAUUGAACACAUUGCAAGUUAUGAACAUAAAAGAAAAAUGUACAACUUCUUUUACGAGAAUAAAGUGGAUGAGACCAAGAGACAUCCAGAUUUAUUUCACAUGCCAGAGGAGGAACUAAAAAAGUUUAAAGAGAAAGUUGCAAUCCAAGCUAAAGAGUAUGAUUCUGGCAACAGAGAGGAAUUGGAAAAGUCAGCCGAGAAGAUCCGACAGACCGAUGCUCUGAGGAAUCAAGUGGUGCAGUCUCACCACUUCUCAACGCUGAAGGUGUGUGGGGCCUGAAUCAACCCGCAGACAAUUGAGAAUGCAUCAUCUCGGAGAAUGAAUAUCCCAAACUACAUAAGUCCUGGAACCAUUAUUGAAAAAAAGGCCACCAUGCUUGCCAAGGGUGAUGGCUUGACUUUCAUUGGGAGUCACAAUUAUAACAGGAAUGAGGGCAAUGUUCAUUCAGGAGCUCCUCCACCUUGGCUGUUGUCCUCGGAGGAGGAGACAACCAGCGGUGAGAUAGGUCCUACCAUUGACUCGUAUAAAGCACAUUUGGAGAGGGAGAAAAAGAAGAAACUCCCUGCCAACAGGGUGGGUGCUAAGUUUGAUCACCAGCAGAGCACAGACCAGGCCUGGCUGCCAUCCUUCGGGCGUGUCUGGAGUAAGGGAGGAAGACAGCAAUCAAAAAAGUAUUUCCAGAGGAUAAGUUCAACAACAAAGAAAUGUUCAACCAUUAGCAAUUUCACAGCAUCUAGUGAUAGAGACACAUUAUCCUCUAGUGUAUACAGUAGCGAAAAUGACAUCCAGAAUAGAGUGGAAAGCAAGAUGAACGGUGAUAUGUCAGUUCAAUCCAAUGCUGGGGAGAAUGAACACAGCUUUCAGAAUGGUGUAAGAACAGAAAAUUAUCAGAUCCACAGUAAUUCAACAUUUCCUUUUCAUCACCAAAGUGGAUCGGAGGUGGAUACAAACUUUUCAGUGGCACCAAGGAAUAAUGUGAAACCCUACGUGAAAAAACAUAGACCUGAAAGCACAGCUUCAGGUUAUACACAGACUCAGGGGCAAGCUCAGUAUGAACACGGAGGUAUGAACCAACUUCAGCCACAAAGUUAUGGAGGUAAUUUGAACAUGAACCAUCUUAAUCAAUCCGGGAGUUAUUUGAAUCAUUCUAUGAACCCCUCAAUUCAACCUGUGAUGAAUGAGUCAACUUACUCAGUGAAUCAGUGGUCUCAGUAUACAAGUUAUUCAGCUCAGCCUGCAAGUCAGUCGACUCAGGCUGCAAGUUAUAUGACUCACUCUAGAACAGCCAAACCUUAUGUAAGAAAACGGAAAAGUGAGGAUAUUGGGUCAACAGAGGUGAACUCGAUGGGUCAUAUUCCAGUAAUCCCUACCCCCAUUCUGGAGGCGAAAGCACCUCCAUCUACCUCAAGGUGGAAAUAAACCUCAAGCAAAGGUUGUGUCUUAGUUUGCUAAUCAGUUUCAAAAAAAAACUGUUACAAGCACUAUUUAUAUGUUAUGAUUUUAUUAAAAACAUGAACACAUUGUAUAAAAAUUGAACAAAGAAAACAAAGUUAAUAAAAAACAAAAAUUAUAUGUAUAGCUGAGUAACAUACAAAUUGUUAUACAUUAAAGAAAAAAGUUUCAAUAU